AAGAUGAUUCCAAAGAGUCGUGUUGCUUGAUAGUGCAGCACUAAGUGGGUGGUAAACUCCAUCUAAAGCUAAAUAUAACCAUGAGACCGAUAGUAAACAAGUACCGUGAGGGAAAGUUGAAAAGAACUCUGAAUAGAGAGUUAAAUAGUACGUGAAACUGUUUAGAGGUUAAGCCCGAUGAACCUGAAUAUCCAUUAUAGAAAAUACAACAUUAUGAUUAUAAUAUUAUAUAUAUAUAUAUAUAAAUAUAUAUUAAUAUAUAUUAAAUGUUAUGAAAAUAGUGUGCAUUUUUUCUAUAUAAGGACAUUGUAAUCUAUUAACAUUAAUACAUUUAUCAUAAAAUCAUUAAGAUUGAAGUUUAUUCAAAUUAAUAUUCUAUUUUGUAUAUUAAUAUCGAAUAAAUUCUUAUGAUUUGAUAAAGUGUUGAUAGAUUGAUUAUAUAUGAUGCUUAAAUUCUUAUAGAAUUUUGUAAUUGCAUAUUUAUCUUAUGAUUUUUAUGUUUAUUACAUGCACUAAUAUGAUUAACAAUGCGAUAGAUUCAGGAUACCUUCGGGACCCGUCUUGAAACACGGACCAAGGAGUCUAACAUAUGUGCAAGUCAUUGGGAUUUAUAUUUAUUAAACCCAAAGGCAUAAUUAACUUAAAUGUAAUAUUAAUGGGAUAAAUUUUUAAUCUAUUUAUAGAUUAUUAAUACAAUCCCGGGGCGUUCUAUAUGGUUAUGUAUAAUAAUAUUUAUAUUAUUUAUACCUCUAACUGGAGCGUACCUUGAGCAUUUAUGCUGUGACCCGAAAGAUGGUGAUCUAUACUUGAUCAGGUUGAAGUCAGGGGAAACCCUGAUGGAAGACCGAAACAGUUCUGACGUGCAAAUCGAUUGUCAGAAUUGAGUAUAGCUGCGUAAGACUCAUCGAACCAUCUAGUAGCUGGUUCCCUCCGAAGUUUCUCUCAGGAUAGCUGGUGCAUUUUAAUAUUAUAUAAAAUAUUCCUAUCUGGUAAAGCGAAUGAUUAGAGGCCUUAGGGUCGAAACGACCUUAACCUAUUCUCAAACUUUAAAUGGGUAAGAACCUCACCUUUCUUGAUAUGAAGGUUGAGGUUAUGAUAUAAUGUGCCCAGUGGGCCACUUUUGGUAAGCAGAACUGGCGCUGUGGGAUGAACCAAACGUUAUGUUACGGUGCCCAAAUUAACAACUCAUGCAGAUACCAUGAAAGGCGUUAGUUGCUAAAAACAGCAUGACGGUGGACAUGGAAGUCGUAAUCCGCUAAGGAGUGUGUAACAACUCACAUGCCGAAGCAACUAGCCCUUAAAAUGGAUGGCGCUUAAGUUGUAUACCUAUACAUUACCGCUAAAGUAAAUGAUUUAUAUUCAAUUUCGGUUGAAUUUUAAAUUUUGAAACUUUAGUGAGUAGGAGGGUACAAUGGUGUGCUUAGAAGUGUUUGGCGUAAGCCUGCAUGGAGCCGCCAUUGGUACAGAUCUUGGUGGUAGUAGCAAAUAAUCGAAUGAGACCUUGGAGGACUGAAGUGGAGAAGGGUUUCGUGUGAACAGUGGUUGAUCACGAGUUAGUCGGUCCUAAGUUCAAGGCGAAAGCCGAAAAUUUUCAAGUUAUAAUGAAAAUCUAUAUAGAAUUAUAUAUUUAGGAUUUAAAUACUUGAUUAUUUUUGAACGAAAGGGAAUACGGUUCCAAUUCCGUAACCUGUUGAGUAUCCGUUUGUUAUUAAAAAUGGGCCUUGUGCUCAUCCUGGUAACAGAAACGAUCAUAAAGAAGCCGUCGAGAGAUAUCGAAAGAGUUUUCUUUUCUGUUUUAUAGUCGUACUACCAUGGAAGUCUUUCGAAGAGAGAUAUGGUAGAUGGGCUAGAAGAGCAUGACAUUUACUGUUGUGUCGAUAUUUUCUCCUCGGACCUUGAAAAUUUAUGGUGGGGUCACGCAAACUUCUCAACAGGCCGUACCGAUAUCCGCAGCUGGUCUCCAAGGUGAAGAGUCUCUAGUCGAUAGAAUAAUGUAGGUAAGGGAAGUCGGCAAAUUAGAUCCGUAACUUCGGGAUAAGGAUUGGCUCUGAAGAUUGAGAUAAUCGGGCUUGAUUGGGAAGCAAUAAUAUGGUUUAUGUACUCGUUCUGGAUAAAUAAAGAUUUUCGGAUCUUGUUCCCCGGAUAGUAGUUACGUAACCAAUUGUGGAACUUUCUUGCUAAAAUUUUUAAGGAAUUAUCGAAAGAUAUAUUCUUUUUAAAUUAUAACGAUUAUCAAUUAACAAUCAAUUCAGAACUGGCACGGACUUGGGGAAUCCGACUGUCUAAUUAAAACAAAGCAUUGUGAUGGCCCCAGCGGGUGUUGACACAAUGUGAUUUCUGCCCAGUGCUCUGAAUGUCAACGUGAAGAAAUUCAAGUAAGCGCGGGUCAACGGCGGGAGUAACUAUGACUCUCUUAAGGUAGCCAAAUGCCUCGUCAUCUAAUUAGUGACGCGCAUGAAUGGAUUAACGAGAUUCCUUCUGUCCCUAUCUACUAUCUAGCGAAACCACAGCCAAGGGAACGGGCUUGGAAUAAUUAGCGGGGAAAGAAGACCCUGUUGAGCUUGACUCUAGUCUGGCAGUGUAAGGAGACAUAAGAGGUGUAGCAUAAGUGGGAGAUAUUUGAAUUUAUUCAAUUAUCGCCAAUGAAAUACCACUACUCUUAUUGUUUCCUUACUUACUUGAUUAAAUGGAACAUGUAUCAUUUCUUAGCCAUUAUACGGAUAUAUUUAUAUAUCUUAUGGUAUUAGGUCUUGAUGCAAGCUUCUUGAUCAAAAUAUCACGAGUUUGUUAUAUAAUUGUAAACAGAUUUUAAUGAAAUUAUAGCAUUUUUUCGAUGUUAUUAUUAUAAUUGAGAUUUGGUAUAACUCCAACACUCAGGUAUGAUCCAAUUCAAGGACAUUGCCAGG
rnacentral:rRNA from 1 species